UAGGGAAUCUUCCGCAAUGGACGAAAGUCUGACGGAGCAACGCCGCGUGAGUGAAGAAGGAUUUCGGUUCGUAAAACUCUGUUGUUAGGGAAGAAAAAAUGUAUAGUAACUAUAUACAAAAGAGACGGUACCUAACCAGAAAGCCACGGCUAACUACGUGCCAGCAGCCGCGGUAAUACGUAGGUGGCAAGCGUUGUCCGGAAUUAUUGGGCGUAAAGCGCGCGCAGGUGGUUUAGAAAGUCUGAUGUGAAAGCCCACGGCUCAACCGUGGAGGGUCAUUGGAAACUAAUAAACUUAAGUGCAGGGGAGAAAAGUGGAAUUCCUGGUGUAGCGGUGAAAUGCGUAGAGAUUAGGAGGAACACCGGUGGCGAAAGCGGCUUUUUGGCCUGCAACUGACACUGAAGCGCGAAAGCGUGGGGAGCAAACAGG
rnacentral:rRNA from 1 species